rnacentral:rRNA from 1 species
GGCAGCAGUUAGGAAUAUUGGUCAAUGGACGGAAGUCUGAACCAGCCAAGUAGCGUGCAGGAUGACGGCCCUAUGGGUUGUAAACUGCUUUUGUAUGGAGAUAAAGUUAGGGACGUGUCCCUAUUUGCAGGUACCAUACGAAUAAGGACCGGCUAAUUCCGUGCCAGCAGCCGCGGUAAUACGGAAGGUCCAGGCGUUAUCCGGAUUUAUUGGGUUUAAAGGGAGCGUAGGCUGGAGAUUAAGUGUGUUGUGAAAUGUAGACGCUCAACGUCUGAAUUGCAGCGCAUACUGGUUUCCUUGAGUACGCACAACGUUGGCGGAAUUCGUCGUGUAGCGGUGAAAUGCUUAGAUAUGACGAAGAACUCCGAUUGCGAAGGCAGCUGACGGGAGCGCAACUGACGCUUAAGCUCGAAGGUGCGGGUAUCAAACAGG